GCAUCCCCCCACCCUCUUCUCCGUCUUCCUCUUCCACGCUCGGCGGCUGGACCCUCCCCGUGGCCUCCUCUGUCGCGGCCUCGUUCGAAACCGGAAAGACCGCCCAGUACCAACGAAGUGGAAGGACAAAGCCGUCGUCAGUGUCGUGUUUUGCGGCUCGUCGUUGUUCACGGAUUCGAGGUCUUAUGCUUCGAUUUAAUUUCUUGCAUUAGGAAGUGACGAUUGUUAUGCAAGUUUCUGAACUUUUCUGAAGGUUCUGAUCCAAGGGGUGAAAAUUGGGUGACGAGGUGCCCUGUCUGACUGAGUUUUAUAUCAUGAACUAUACGUACUGGCUUCUCCACCAGCAAACAACGGGAGAAACUACGCGAGCUACCAACCAAAUGCACGCCAAUAUACAGCUGAAAACAGUUUCCAUUAUUCCUGUGGCGCUAGUGCUUGCCUGGCAAUCAGGUGCUGCAGACAGAUUGUGGAUCACACAUGCUUAAUCUGCACAAAGUUCUGCUUCAAGUACAUCAUCAGGCAUUACUGCAAGAACUACUCAGCUGGUUUGCAGAAACGGAUGCCUACAUUACAGGAGGGACAUGCUCACCCUUGUACUCGAGCUCCUUCAAUCGGGAAAGUUUGUCGAUGCCGGAGAGAGAUGUGGAAGAUGACCAGACAAUCUUCUCGAGCCUAGAAGCAGACCCUCUGUUGAAGACAAUCUUUGUUGGGGAUAUUACUACUGGGCAUAAACCGGCCUAUCUGGGCCGGAUUAACUCCAUCAGUAGUUCAAAGCUGUUAAAACCUAAAGAGGCAGAUAAAGGCCCAGGGCCCGUAGUCGGUUUACAACCUGUAGCCGUACAUCAGCUUUGUGCAUAUACUUAUAAUAUAAGUUAGGAACAAGGAGAGACCAACCCGGAUACGAGUAUGAACCGGUGUUGGGACUCUCUGAACCGGCAGGCGUCACCCAUGUAUAUAAGGGGACGACCCGGCGGCGGUUCAAGGACAACGGACAACA